rnacentral:rRNA from 1 species
GACAGAGGUGCCAAGCGUUAGGCGGAAUCACUGGGCUUAAAGCGUGUGUAGGCGGAAUGGUAAGUACCUUGUGAAAUCCCACGGCUCAACCGUGGAACUGCUGGGUAUACUGCCCUUCUUGAGCCACUUAGGGGCUGUCGGAACAAACGGUGGAGCGGUGAAAUGCGUAGAUAUCGGGAGGAACAUCAGUGGCGAAGGCGGCUAUCUGGACCAACACUGACACUGAGGCACGAAAGCGUGGGUAGCAAACAGG